rnacentral:rRNA from 1 species
GUGCGUUGCGCAGCUACACAUGCAGUCGAGCGAGAUCUUCGGAUCUAGCGGCGGACGGGUGAGUAACGCGUGGGAACGUACCCUCUUCUGCGGGAUAGCCACUGGAAACGGUGAGUAAUACCGCAUACGCCCUUCGGGGGAAAGAUUUAUCGGAGGAGGAUCGGCCCGCGUUGGAUUAGGUAGUUGGUGGGGUAAUGGCCUACCAAGCCUACGAUCCAUAGCUGGUUUUAGAGGAUGAUCAGCCACACUGGGACUGAGACACGGCCCAGACUCCUACGGGAGGCAGCAGUGGGGAAUCUUAGACAAUGGGCGCAAGCCUGAUCUAGCCAUGCCGCGUGAGUGACGAAGGCCUUAGGGUCGUAAAGCUCUUUCGCCUGUGAUGAUAAUGACAGUAGCAGGUAAAGAAACCCCGGCUAACUCCGUGCCAGCAGCCGCGGUAAUACGGAGGGGGUUAGCGUUGUUCGGAAUUACUGGGCGUAAAGCGCACGUAGGCGGAUUGGAAAGUAUGGGGUGAAAUCCCAGGGCUCAACCCUGGAACGGCCUCAUAAACUUCCAGUCUGGAGUUCGAGAGAGGUGAGUGGAAUUCCGAGUGUAGAGGUGAAAUUCGUAGAUAUUCGGAGGAACACCAGUGGCGAAGGCGGCUCACUGGCUCGAUACUGACGCUGAGGUGCGAAAGUGUGGGGAGCAAACAGGAUUAGAUACCCU